rnacentral:rRNA from 1 species
UACGUAGGGAGCGAGCGUUGUCCGGAUUUACUGGGUGUAAAGGGUGCGUAGGCGGCAUAUCAAGUCAGGCGUGAAAUACAGGGGCUUAACCCCUGAACUGCGUUUGAAACUGGUAUGCUUGAGUGAAGCAGAGGUAGGCGGAAUUCCCGGUGUAGCGGUGAAAUGCGUAGAGAUCGGGAGGAACACCAGUGGCGAAGGCGGCCUACUGGGCUUUAACUGACGCUGAGGCACGAAAGCGUGGGUAGCAAACAGG